UACGUAGGGGGCAAGCGUUGUCCGGAAUCAUUGGGCGUAAAGCGCGCGUAGGUGGCUAUGUAAGUCCGUUGUGAAAGUCAAAGGCUCAACCUUUGAAAGCCGAUGGAUACUGCAUAGCUAGAGUACGGAAGAGGCGAGAGGAAUUCCUGGUGUAGCGGUGGAAUGCGCAGAUAUCAGGAGGAACACCAAUAGCGAAGGCAGCUCGCUGGGACGUUACUGACACUGAGGCGCGAAAGCGUGGGGAGCGAACAGG
rnacentral:rRNA from 1 species